CUCUCUCUCACAGUCUUCUAGGACACGUCUUCCCCCUUAACCGCUCUCUCUCUCUCUCUCUCUCGGCGCGCGACGCGAACGAAACUUCGAGAGGCGUUCGAUCGAGCUCUCCGUUCGGAAUUCCUUCUUCCGGGCGAAAUUUUUAUCCCCUGGCGGUGGAUUUCGGCGGUGGCGUUGUUCGGGAGUGGGAGUAUUAAGGGGUUUGUGACCGGGGCUCGGGUGAUGGAUCCGGAGUCCGGCUCUCGGUCUCCCGGGAGUCGCUCUUGGAAAGCAUACAGAACCACUCUUUUGUUGGCCUACCAGAGCUUUGGUGUUGUAUAUGGUGAUCUAAGCAUUUCACCCAUCUACGUCUACAAGAGCACUUUCUCGGGAAAGCUACGCCUCCACGAGGAAGAAGCUGAAGUCCUUGGAGUCCUCUCUCUGGUAUUCUGGACUCUGACUCUGAUUCCUCUUUGCAAGUACAUCAUCUUUGUGUUAGGAGCAGAUGACAACGGCGAAGGUGGGACAUUUGCUUUGUAUUCAUUAAUGUGCCGGAAAACAAAGAUGGGACUUCUGGCUACCCCUCAAGCUGCCAACGAGCAUUUAUCUGCUUAUAAACUGGAAACAUCUAGCAAGGAGACACGGACUAGUUUGUUGGUGAAGAAUUUUUUUGAGAAGCAUCGGACUUCUCGAAUUGCAUUGCUUCUUUUUGUGCUUCUGGGGACAAGCAUGGUUAUCGGUGAUGGUGUUUUGACCCCAGCAAUGUCGGUCCUCUCUGCAGUAUCUGGCCUCAAAAUUAAGAUUCCCAGACUACAUGAAAAUUGCAUUGUAUUUGUGUCCUGCAUUGUGUUAGUGGGCCUUUUUGCAUUGCAACACUAUGGGACACAUCGUGUCAGCUUUCUUUUUGCUCCAAUCUUGAUUGCGUGGCUUGGCUGCAUUAGUGGAAUUGGGAUUUACAACAUAUUCAAGUGGAAUCCUGGUGUUGUCCGUGCCCUAUCACCAUAUUAUGUUUAUAACUUCUUUAAGAAAGCUGGAAAAGAUGGCUGGAGUUCACUUGGAGGUGUUGUUCUUUGCAUUACAGGUGCUGAGGCCAUGUUUGCUGACCUGGGGCACUUCUCAAAGCUUUCAAUCAGGGUGGCAUUUACAGCAGUAGUUUAUCCCUGCUUGGUAGUGGCAUACAUGGGUGAAGCUGCCUACCUAUCAAAGCAUAGGGAGGACCUCCACAGUAGCUUCUACAAAGCCCUUCCUGAGAGCGUAUUUUGGCCAGUGCUUGUCAUUGCAACGUUAGCCACGGUUGUUGGGAGUCAGGCAAUUAUCUCAGCUACCUUCUCCAUAAUUAGUCAAUGUAGGGCUUUGGGAUGUUUCCCCCGUGUGAAAAUUAUACACACAUCGAGCCAUGUACAUGGGCAGAUAUACAUACCAGAGGUGAACUGGCUUCUCAUGCUGUUAUGUCUUGCUGUCACCAUUGGCUUUAGAGACAUUGAUAUGAUAGGAAAUGCUUAUGGCCUUGCUGUGAUUAUUGUAAUGUUUGUAACAACUUGUCUUAUGUUCCUAAUCAUCACUACUGUCUGGAAGCGAUCCAUAUUCUUGGUGCUCCUCUUUGUUAUUACCUUCGGAUCCUUGGAGCUCCUCUACUUCUCCGCAUGCCUUGUCAAAGUUCCUCAUGGAGGCUGGUUUCCCCUCAUCUUUUCACUAAUCAUUUUGCUUGUUAUGUCCGCAUGGCACUAUGGCACUGCUAAGAAACAGGCCUUCGAGCUACAGAACAAGGUCUGCCUCGACUAUCUCCUCAGCAUCAGCCCCAGCCUUGGCCUUGUUCGAGUGCCUGGAGUUGGCCUUGUAUACUCCAACAUCAUGACUGGUGUCCCUCCCAUGUUUGCUCACUUUGUCACAAACUUUCCUGCAUUCCAUCGCAUCCUCAUCUUUGUCUGCUUACGGACACUUACAGUGCCAAAAGUUCCAGUUGAUGAGCGCUUCUUGAUUGGAAGGAUUGGCCCACCAGAGUAUCGCCUCUUUCGGUGCAUUGUGAGGUAUGGGUACAAGGAUGGAGGAAGGGACAGUUACGAGUUUGAGAAUCAGCUGCUCAUGAAAGUGGCAGAAUAUCUGCAGCAGGAAGUGGGGGAUUCGUUGGUUAAUGGUGAGAUGUCAGUGGUUGGUCAGCCAUCUAACCUGGUGGUGGAUGCUGUGAUGGGGUCUGAAAGGACUGAGAGAAGUAAGAAGAGGGUGCGAUUCAAAGAGGCGGUUGGUGCAGAUGUGAGGCAAGAGGUGAGGGAAUUGGCGGACGAGAGGGAGGCUGGUGUGUCAUACAUGAUGGGCCAUACAUGUGUGGUGGCUCAUGAGUCCUCAUCAUUUAUCAAGAAGUUUGUGAUUGAUGUUGUGUACGGGUUUCUUCGGCGUAACUCCCGCAGGCCAGCCGUCGCACUUGGGAUCCCACAUGCCUCCCUGAUUGAGGUCGGCAUGGUUUAUCAUGUAUGAUGCUGAAGACUCCUGCUAUUAUAGAAGAUUAUGCUCGGUUCAUAUACAAGUGGAAAAGAACAAACAUCCUUUUUAGCUCUGAACAUUUUUGCGGUCAAGGAGAAAAAAAAUCAAUCCAGCAUUUACUAUUUCUUCCACUGGAGUAAUGGCCGAUGCAAAACAUGGAUGAAGAUUUAAUAUACUGUUUGGAGAAUGCAAUGGUUCCUGCGUAGUAAUUAAAACCAUACCUAUGAGUUGAAUUGAUUAGGAGGUGGGGAAGAAAGUAGGCACUGCACCAACUUGGCCUGGCAUUCAAGAGAAACUACUAGGGUGGGAAAGAAUUGAUAUUUGAAAAGGUUGACAUUGUAUUAGAAGAGGUCUGACAUUUCUGUACAUAAUAAAGAGAUAAGAUUCUGCCCAGCUGAGAAGCCUGCUGAUACCUCUUUUUCGCUCACGGCCAAACAUAUACCUAGUGUUGUAUAUAAGUUGAUUAGCAAUUUGUCAACAAGGUGAAUUGGAGCUCACUAUCUUAUGUUCGAGAGCAGCUUCCCAAAGAAUAGGCAGUGUUAAGAGCUUAAUUUUGUAUUUUUUUCUGAAUUUAAAGUUGCAGAUCAAUGUGCAAGAUCUCUUCCAUAAUAGUAUUUCCAUCUCAAAAAAAAGUAUUUUUUGUGUGCAUUCAUAUAUAUGUCAAAUGUGUUGGGGUUGUGUACAAGUCCUUUUGCCUGAACAUGUAUCCAUGGAUCAUGA